GUAUAAAUAAUAUAUAAGUAAUAUUAUAGGAUCUCAAAAUUUUGAGUUAAGGCCCUUAAAAUUUGGAGGCCCUAUGCCGUCGCACACCUCGCACAUGCAUGCGAGCCUCCUCUGAGGAGGAGGAGAUGGUGCAGGAAGGUGACGAAAGUUCAGUAAUGAAGGUUCGAUGCCCGACUUGAGUAAAUCCUUAUGAAGGACAGCCUGUGCCUAAGGAGUUUCCUGGGGGCCGUUGGAUACGUCAGUAUUGUAUGAUUAUGGAGCGCCGCAUAUUGCGAGAUGCAUUUAUGACAACAAAGACCGUGACAUGAUUACGCCGGUCAGCAACGAGACAAAGAUGAAUUCGAUUGUUUAUUUUGUUAAUGACUUCAAAUGGGUGGCACGCAACCAUGGACACCAUAGGAAUGUAUGGCUGAAACUAACUGGAUACUUGUUUCUUGAUCCCGCAUUGUUGUCUACUUUUGUGGAGCGAUGGCACGGGGAGACCAGUAGCUUCCAUAUGCCGAGCAGAGAGAUGACAAUCACGCUAGAUGACGUGUGCUGUCUUGUGCAUCUACCCAUUAAGGGACGUCUGCUAGACCAUAAAGGUAUCCCGACCAAAACUGAGGGUGUUGAGUUAAUGAUUAAGCAUAUGGGAUCAACUCGGGAGGAAGCUGAGCACGAGGUUAAAACAACCAAGGGUGCACAUCCAAGGUUCGUAUAUUUGAAGGAACUCAUCAAAAAACACACGUAAGUAGUCAACAAAAUUGAGGUGGAUGGUGAUAAGGACACUUUUGAGAGGUAUAAGGGAUAUAUUACGAGGGCGUACCUCUUAUUGUUGGUUGGAACCACUAUCUUCUCUAACAAGGCAAAGAACAACGUGGACCUGACAUACUUAAAGUAUUUCAUAGAUCUGGAUCAGGUUCACACAUAUGCGUGGGGCACUGCUGCACUGGCAUUCCUUUACCGGGAGUUGACAAACGCCACUAUUCCGUCCUGCAAAUAUGUGGCUGGAUACAUGACGCUGCUACAGGCUUGGAUCUACGACUACUUUUUGGACAACGGAGGGUCUUUGGAUACGCAAUACGAACAACAAUACCACCGAGAUGUUUGCCCCUUUGAGGAUAUAACUUUGUACUCCGGUUGCAUCAGUUGUGGGCCGAUCAAAGUAAGGUAUCUACCAGAGCGGGUGUUACGGUAGUGUGGCUACGUGUAGACCAUUCCCCGUCAUCCAGAUUCCGCUGCGAAUAUAUUGGACACAGUAGAUCGUAUUGAUCAGCAUUGGCUCAAUUACACGGAUCGCGUUCUGACUUUUGAUAUGCUUGGCAGCCGUGCUACUAUUUUGUCAGACACUGCCCCCGGAUACAUGUCGUGGUAUUUCAGGAUAUCACAUCCUUACAUCGUCUAUAUCCCGAUGAGUCUGAUGCAGCAACCUAUGCCUGUUGAGUCUGAUGCUGCUAUGCUUGGUAGAUUGGCCAGCAUCCGGGAAAUACUCAACGGUGUUAUGCACAUCGAUGAAGUUCCAAACAACUCUCGUGUUUACAAUGAACUCCAGUCUGCAUACACUUUGACAUUUGUACUGAAUCAGGGUGAACCCAGUUCUAGUAGUCAGCAUUAGGAAAGAUUAUUUUUAACUCUGGUUGUUUUAUUUUGUAUCUAUUUGAUGCUUUGGAAUUGUUUGGAUAUUAAUUAGUUUAACGUUGUUCGCGAUAUU